rnacentral:rRNA from 1 species
GAUGAACGCUAGCGGGAGGCCUAACACAUGCAAGCCGAGCGGUAUUGUUUCUUCGGAAAUGAGAGAGCGGCGUACGGGUGCGGAACACGUGUGCAACCUGCCUUUAUCUGGGGGAUAGCCUUUCGAAAGGAAGAUUAAUACUCCAUAACAUAUUGAUUGGCAUCAAUUAAUAUUGAAAGCUCCGGCGGAUAGAGAUGGGCACGCGCAAGAUUAGCUAGUUGGUGAGGUAACGGCUCACCAAGGCGAUGAUCUUUAGGGGGCCUGAGAGGGUGAUCCCCCACACUGGUACUGAGACACGGACCAGACUCCUACGGGAGGCAGCAGUGAGGAAUAUUGGUCAAUGGGUGCAAGCCUGAACCAGCCAUCCCGCGUGAAGGACGACUGCCCUAUGGGUUGUAAACUUCUUUUGUGUAGGGAUAAACCUAUCCUCGUGAGGGUAGCUGAAGGUACUAUACGAAUAAGCACCGGCUAACUCCGUGCCAGCCGCCGCGGUAAAAC